rnacentral:siRNA from 1 species
CCACUGCCAUAUUUUCUCCC